rnacentral:rRNA from 1 species
GAUGAACGCUGGCGGCGUGCCUAAUACAUGCAAGUCGAGCGAACAGACGAGGAGCUUACUCCUCUGACGUUAGCGGCGGACGGGUGAGUAACACGUGGAUAACCUACCUAUAAGACUGGGAUAACUUCGGGAAACCGGAGCUAAUACCGGAUAACAUGUUGAACCGCAUGGUUCAACAGUGAAAGACGGCCUUGCUGUCACUUAUAGAUGGAUCCGCGUCGCAUUAGCUAGUUGGUAAGGUAACGGCUUACCAAGGCAACGAUGCGUAGCCGACCUGAGAGGGUGAUCGGCCACACUGGAACUGAGACACGGUCCAGACUCCUACGGGAGGCAGCAGUAGGGAAUCUUCCGCAAUGGGCGAAAGCCUGACGGAGCAACGCCGCGUGAGUGAAGAAGGUCUUCGGAUCGUAAAACUCUGUUAUUAGGGAAGAACAAAUGUGUAAGUAACUAUGCACGUCUUGACGGUACCUAAUCAGAAAGCCACGGCUAACUACGUG